CCUACGGGUGGCUGCAGUGGGGAAUAUUGGGCAAUGGGCGCAAGCCUGACCCAGCAACGCCGCGUGAAGGAAGAAGGCUCUCGGGUUUUAAACUUCUUUUAUCAGGGACGAAGCAAGUGACGGUACCUCAUGAAUAAGCCUCUGCUAACUACGUGCCAGCAGCCGCGUUAAUACGUAGGUGGCAAGCGUUAUCCGGAUUUACUGGGUGUAAAGGGCGUGUAGGCGGGAAAGCAAGUCAGAUGUGAAAACCAUGGGCUCAACCUGUGGACUGCAUUUGAAACUGUUUUUCUUGAGUACUGGUAAGGAAGACGGAAUGCCUAGUGUAGCGGUGAAAUGCGUAGAUAUUAGGAGGAACACCAGUGGCGAAGGCGGUCUGCUGGACAGCAACUGACGCUGAGGCGCGAAAGCGUGGGGAGCAAACAGGAUUAGAUACCCGAGUAGUC
rnacentral:rRNA from 1 species